GAUCCUGGCUCAGAUUGAACGCUGGCGGCAUGCUUUACACAUGCAAGUCGAACGGCAGCACAGGGAGCUUGCUCUCGGGUGGCGAGUGGCGCACGGGUGAGUAAUACAUCGGAACGUGUCCUGUUGUGGGGGAUAACUGCUCGAAAGGGUGGCUAAUACCGCACGAGACCUGAGGGUGAAAGCGGGGGAUCGCAAGACCUCGCGCAAUUGGAGCGGCCGAUGCCCGAUUAG
rnacentral:rRNA from 1 species